GACGAACGCUGGCGGCGUGCUUAACACAUGCAAGUCGAACGCUGAAGCUCAGCUUUUGUUGGGUGGAUGAGUGGCGAACGGGUGAGUAACACGUGAGUAACCUGCCUCCUUCUUUGGGAUAACGCCCGGAAACGGGUGCUAAUACUGGAUAUUCACUGGUCUUCGCAUGGGGGUUGGUGGAAAGGGUUUUUCUGGUGGGGGAUGGGCUCGCGGCCUAUCAGCUUGUUGGUGGGGUGAUGGCCUACCAAGGCUUUGACGGGUAGCCGGCCUGAGAGGGUGACUGGUCACAUUGGGACUGAGAUAGGGCCCAGACUCCUACGGGAGGCAGCAGUGGGGAAUAUUGCGCAAUGGGCGCAAGCCUGAUGCAGCGACGCAGCGUGAGGGAUGGAGGCCUUCGGGUUGGGAACCUCUUUCGCUCAUGGUCAAGCCGCAACAAUGGUUGGGGUGAGGGUAGUGGGUAAAGAAGCGCCGGCUAACUACGUG
rnacentral:rRNA from 1 species